CGCGAAGAACCUUACCUACUCUUGACAUCCAGAGAACUUUCCAGAGAUGGAUUGGUGCCUUCGGGAACUCUGAGACAGGUGCUGCAUGGCUGUCGUCAGCUCGUGUUGUGAAAUGUUGGGUUAAGUCCCGCAACGAGCGCAACCCUUAUCCUUUGUUGCCAGCGGUUAGGCCGGGAACUCAAAGGAGACUGCCAGUGAUAAACUGGAGGAAGGUGGGGAUGACGUCAAGUCAUCAUGGCCCUUACGAGUAGGGCUACACACGUGCUACAAUGGCAUAUACAAAGAGAAGCGACCUCGCGAGAGCAAGCGGACCUCAUAAAGUAUGUCGUAGUCCGGAUUGGAGUCUGCAACUCGACUCCAUGAAGUCGGAAUCGCUAGUAAUCGUGGAUCAGAAUGCCACGGUGAAUACGUUCCCGG
rnacentral:rRNA from 1 species